rnacentral:rRNA from 1 species
GACGAACGCUGGCGGCGUGCCUAAUACAUGCAAGUCGAACGCAGUGGGGACGGGUGAGUAACACGUGGGUAACCUCCCAUCAGAGGGGAUAACACUUGGGAACAGGUGCUAAACCGAUACUGAUGGAUGGACCCGAGGUGCAUUAGCUAGUUGGUGAGGUAACGGCUCACCAAGGCCACGAUGCAUAGCCGACCUGAGAGUGUGAUCGGCCAAACGGGGACUGAGACACGGCCCAGACUCCUACGUGAGGCAGCAGUAGGGAAGCUUCGGAAAUGGACGAAAGUCUGACCGAGUAACGCCGCGUGAGGUAAGAAGGUCUUCGGAUCGUAAAACUCUGUUGGUAGAGAAGCGUUAUCUAACCAGAAAGCCACGGCUAACUACGUGCCAGCAGCCGCGGUAAUAC